rnacentral:rRNA from 1 species
AGUGAACGCUGGCGGCAGGCCUAACACAUGCAAGUCGAACGGAAACACGAUGAGCUUUCUCCCUUGACGUUGGCGGGGGGCGGGCGAGUGACACGUGCAUAACCUUCCUCUAUUUCGUGGGUAAUUUCGUGAAAACGGUGCCAAUAACGGCUAAUAUAUUCAACCGCAGGGAGCAGUAGUUAUUGGCGGCUUGCCUGUCUCUUUUAGCCGAUGUCGCGUCGGAUUAGCUGGUUGGUAAGGUAACGGCUUACCAAGGCGACGAUGCGUAGCCGACCUGAGAGGAUGAUCAGCCACACUGGAACUGAGACACGGUCCAGACUCCUACGGGAGGCAGCAGUGGGGAAUAUUGCACAAUGGGCGCAAGCCUGAUGCAGCCAUGCCGCGUGGGUGAAGAAGGCCUUCGGGUUGUAAAGCUCUUUUAUUGGGGAAGAAAAGAAGUAGGUGAAUACCUGGACGUUUUGACGGUACCCAAAGAAAAAGCACCGGCUAACUACGUG